ensembl:snoRNA
ACCCUUUUGUAGUUCUUGAGUGUGAUACUAGUGUGUUUACACUCACAUGUGGAUGUGCCUCCCUCAAAUCUUGUUAGGACAUUGGCACAAUACCCAGGGUUGUGAAC